rnacentral:antisense_RNA from 1 species
ACAUACACUCAAGAUCUCGAUGCAAUUCUCACACGAAUAAGAAAAGUAAAAGAGCACAAAACAGAAGAUAAAAGGGGGAACAAAUGAAAACCCAGGUAAGGAAAAGGCGUACUUAUCGCCGGAGGAGAAGCUGUAGAGCUUGCCGGAGGCGGAGACGACGAGAAGAGCGACGGAUGCGUCACAGAGAACAGAAAGCUGACGAGCUUUCUCGAUGAGACCGUUGCGACGUUUGGAGAAGGUGACUUGUCGGCUACUUUUGUUCUCAAUUCGCUUGAUUUCUAGUUUUUUUCUUCCCAUGGCUUCUCUCCGAGAGGGCUUUGUGCCCUAAUUUGAUCCUCAGGUUUGGGUUCAAGUCGCCGGAGAUACUAAGCGUUUUCUCUUUCUAUUUUUUUUUUUCCUUUUCUCGCUUUAUUUCUUUCUAUUUUUUGUGCCUAUCUACUUUUUCUUCGUCGGGCCAGAUAUUUUUUUUUUUUUGGGGGUAAACGAGAGUGAUGCAAAAAAACCAAAUAUGUGAAUAAAAACGUUGUGUUUUGAAGACAAGAUUGCCACGUGUACCGCAAAAAAAAAAAAAAAAAAAAAAAAAAAAAAAAAAAAAAAAAAAAAAAAAAAAAAAAAAAAAAAAAAAAAAAAAAAAAAAAAAAAAAAAAAAAAAAAAAAAAAAAAAAAAAAAAAAAAAAAAAAAAAAAAAAAAAAAAAAAAAAAAAAAAAAAAAAAAAAAAAAAAAAAAAAAAAAAAAAAAAAAAAAAAAAAAAAAAAAAA